AUGGGUUCAGAAUGUGAAGGUAAAGUAGUAGCCAAUUUCCUUCGUUUCUUUUCUUUCUAUUUAGUUUUUUCAGAGAUAUGUGCCAAUUCUUAUAUAUAUAUAUAUAUAUAUAUAUAUGUGUGUGUGAGAGUAUAUUUAUUUAUUUAUUUAUUUUCAGGCAAGGGUUCGUGGCCAGAGCUUGUUGGAGUGGAGGGGGAGGUUGCCAAAGCAACAAUUGAGAGAGAGAACCCUAUUGUGACUGCUAAGAUUGUGGUUGAAGGAGAAACAUAUGUCAUCACCAACUACGAUUGCUAUAGGGUUUGGGUAUGGGUUGAUAAAGAUGAUCGACUUGUCACAAGGCCUCCCAUAAUUGGUUAA
rnacentral:lncRNA from 1 species